rnacentral:tRNA from 1 species
CGGGGUGUAGCUCAGCUUGGUAGAGCGCCGCCUUCGGGAGGCGGAGGUCGUAGGUUCAAAUCCUGUCACCCCGACCA